rnacentral:rRNA from 1 species
GGACGCAUCACUGGUGUUCGGGUUGUCAUGCCAAUGGCACUGCCCGGUAGCUAAAUGCGGAAGAGAUAAGUGCUGAAAGCAUCUAAGCACGAAACUUGCCCCGAGAUGAGUUCUCCCUGACUCCUUGAGAGUCCUGAAGGAACGUUAAAGACGAUGACGUUGAUAGGUCGGGUGUGUAAGCGCAGCGAUGCGUUGAGCUAACCGAUACUAAUGAACCGUGAGGCUUAACCUUACAACGCCGAAG